CCCCGGAGGCGCCGCGCCAACCCCAGCAACAUCCGCGUCAAGAUUGCUGACUUCGGGUUCGCGCGCUACCUCCAGAGCAACAUGAUGGCGGCCACGCUCUGCGGCUCCCCCAUGUACAUGGCCCCCGAGGUGAUCAUGUCCCAGCACUACGAUGGGAAGGCAGACCUGUGGGUAUCGGCACCAUCGUUUACCAGUGCCUGACAGGGAAGGCGCCCUUCCAGG